rnacentral:lncRNA from 1 species
CAUUAAGAAGAACAUAAGAAUAAGUAUUUGUUUAUUGUGUGUUGCAGAGGAAAACAGGAAGCGAUUCAAAAACUCUCCACAUUCUUUAUGCAACCUAAGACGCCCUCUCAGCCUCUACCACGAAACAACAGCCCAGUAAUACCAGAGCCCACACCAGAGGAUCCUGACAGCUCAAAUAAAGAAGAAGAAGAUUUAGAUGUGUCAGACCUCCAGAUUCUUCCUCCUCCGGACCUGUAUGCCGACAUCACAGCUGGAGACCCCAUGCCUAUUUACAGCAAGUACGUACACUGAACAUCUUGAGUGAUCUUUUGUGACAACAUGCCCCAAUA